UAAUACGGAGGGUGCAAGCGUUAAUCGGAAUUACUGGGCGUAAAGCGCGCGUAGGCGGUUAUUUAAGUCAGAUGUGAAAGCCCCGGGCUUAACCUGGGAAUGGCAUUUGAGACUGGAUGGCUAGAGUAUGGUAGAGGUGAGUGGAAUUUCAGGUGUAGCGGUGAAAUGCGUAGAGAUCUGAAGGAACAUCAGUGGCGAAGGCGACUCACUGGGCCAUUACUGACGCUGAGGUGCGAAAGCGUGGGUAGCAAACAGGAUUAGAUACCCUGGUAGUCCACGCCCUAAACGAUGUCAACUAGGGGUAUGGAGAAUAUAUUCUUUGUGUAUCGAAGCUAACGCGAUAAGUUGACCGCCUGGGGAGUACGGUCGCAAGACUA
rnacentral:rRNA from 1 species